AGGGACAGUUGGGGGCAUUCGUAUUUAGUAGCUAGAGGUGAAAUUCUUAGACCUACUAAAGACGAACUACUGCGAAAGCAUCUGCCAAGGAUGUUUUCAUUAAUCAAGAACGAAAGUUAAGGGAUCGAAGACGAUCAGAUACCGUCGUAGUCUUAACCAUAAACGAUGCCGACUAGAGAUUGUGAAGCUGUCA
rnacentral:rRNA from 1 species